GAAAUGCGAUAAGUAAUGUGAAUUGCAGAAUUCAGUGAAUCAUCGAAUCUUUGAACGCACAUUGCGCUCCUUGGUAUUCCUUGGAGCAUGCCUGUUUGAGUAUCAUGAAAUCUUCAAAGUAAAUCUGUUGUUAACUCAAUUGGUUUCUACUUUGGUAUUGGAGGUCUUUGCAGCUUCACACCUGCUCCUCUUUGUUCAUUAGCUGGAUCUCAGUGUUAUGCUUGGUUCCACUCGGCGUGAUAAGUUAUCUAUCGCUGAGGACACUGUAAAAGGUGGCCAAGGUAAAUGCAGAUGAACCGCUUCUAAUAGUCCAUUGACUUGGACAAUACUUUUAUGAUCUGAUCUCAAAUCAGGUAGGACUACCCGCUGAACUUAAGC
rnacentral:misc_RNA from 1 species